UAACGACCCAGAUUUUUUCUGGUGGGCCAGUUUGGCCUUUAUUAAAAAUUAAAGUCUAAUUCUCUCUUUUUACUUUGUCCCACAUUGGAUGUUUAGAAAACCUACCUCCCUUCCCUUCUUCUAUAUAAGAAACUCCAUCCUUUCUCUUUAUUCUCAUCAAGUCAAAGUAUUUCUUUGCGUGUGACGAGUUGUUGUUGAAUUAUUCGACGACCAGUCACUAGUGAAUUUUCCGGUGGGAUUUCCGGGUGAGCUUCCGGCGAGAUUUCUGGACGAGCUUCCGGUGAGAUUUCUAGACGAGCUUCCGGCGGGUUUUCUAUUGACCUCAGCUGACCGCAUCUUUCGUUGUUCAUUUCAGCCUGUGGCUAAGGUGAGGGCUAUCCCAUUAAAUCCCGAGCUAGUUUAGUACUACUAUUAUGGAAAGUUUAGUUUCGAAACAUGAUCCGUCUCUGUGAAUUGAGUCUGUUUGAGAGUCUUGUUUGUUUAUUAUUACUAUUGAUUGUUAAACCGGAAAUAGGAUAAUAGAGGAUUCAACGGUUGACUGAAUUGAAUGAAUUAAGAACUGUUAUUUAUAUAUGUAUAUACAUAAGUCUGUUAUGAGAUUGCGGGGCACAAAGAUGUUGUGCUAACGGCGCAUUGUGUGGAGAUUGCGGGACACAGAGACGUUUGUGUUAGCGGCGCAUUGUAUGGAGAUUGCGGGGCAUAUGGACGUCUAUGCUAGCGGCGCAUUGUAUGAGGGAUUGCGGGGUACAAAGACGUUUGUACUAGCGGCGCAUAGGUGAUUGCGGGGUACAAGGAUGGACUCUUGUACUAGCGGCGCAUAGAGUUAUAUAUUUAUAUCCGUAUAAGGAGAAUGCGGGUGUGUGAUCUAGUUAUGCACUAUCAGCGCAUUUGAUGUUUUAUGUGGUGUAUUAGACACUGUGUUUGUUUCAUGCUAGAGCUAGGCCUACAUAGUCGUAGUGCUAUGUACUGAGUCAGUGGUUUGUGGUUUAGCAUCCCAUACCUCACGGAGUAACUCCCCUGUUACUCACCCCUCUUUCUUCCCCCUUUCAGGUGAGACCGACGAGCAGGAGUGAUUACUAUCGGAUUGGUGCUUUGGGAGUUUUAUCUCUUUAAGUUUCAGACUUGCGGUUUUUAUGAUUUUAUCGAUAUUUUCAGGUUUUAUUAUAUUAUCUGGAUUUACGACUUUGGAGUUGACUUUAGAGAAGUAAUAAAUGGAGAUUUCGGACUUUAUAUUUAUUUAUUUUAUUUUGGAAAAUACGGGUGUUACAAUUUGGUAUCAGAGCGGGUUCCGUCCCGGCUCUGACCCGGGAUGGCGAUUUGUUGGGACGUAGUUUCGACUCGGUUUU